UUUUGAGCCAUAAAUCCUUUAUUUCUUAAACCGUGAACCAUCCCACAUUACAACCCUCAAAAGACCUAAUUGAAGCAAGGUCUAUUUUGAAAGCAUAUUGCAUUGGAGCUUGUGUCGAAACUGACUCCUAUUUUUUUUGCUAAGUAUCAGUAUGACUUUUGUAACCAGUGAUCCAUUCACUCUAUGUCAUCUUUUCAGUGGAUAUACUUGGAUUUCUAAAACUGACAUA
rnacentral:lncRNA from 1 species